UGGAGGUCGGACGGCCGCCGCCGCCGCCGGCGGCGGCGGCCUCUCUCCAUCGCGCCAUGCCCCACUAACCCGCGCCCCCACCCCACGCCUUCCGUUGCGUUUGCUGGCCAGCCAUUUUUCUCGCGCCGAGUGAGGUCUGACGGCCGGCGGCGGCGCGCUUCGAUCCGAUUUCAUCGGCUGCGGCUGCGGCAACCUCGGGCGUCGAUCCAUUUUCAUCGGGGUGCGGCGGCGGCGGCGGCGUCUCCCUCUCUCCAUCGCGGUUUGAGCCCUCCCAUUUCUUCCUUUGCUGAGUACGCUGCGACCUGCGCCGCCGAUUUUGACGGCGGCGGUGAGGGAGGCGGCCUGUUGAUCGGCUCCGUCAUCCACUGCAACGGCCACAUCCACUGCGGCCUCGACGGCGAGGAGGACGGCUUCGACUGACCCCUGCUUGCCCCGCACCUCCGACUGCGCCCUCUGCAGUAGCACACACGUCAUCCCCAAUCCAUUUUCGUCCAGGGCUGCAUCACUUCCGGGCGACGGCGUUCCAUGGCGGCGACGCAAUCCGGGUUCGUAUCCCCUGCCAUGAUCCCUCAUCCUCAUUCCUCAUGGCUCAAUGUCUAACAGAUCAUAGCCAUAGUAACCACAACCAAACAAGAAAAGAACAAGAUAGAAUUGCGUUUGAAUUAUUUUUCAGUCCAAUUGGAAGUGCCAUCAUCUGUGUAAGUAAUCGUGUAUUACUGAAAAGUCAUACGCACUUGCAUAAUGUGAAAAUUAUUGGGUGUUGUAGUAUUUCUUAGUCCAAUUGGAAGUGCCCCUGUUUCAUUUUUUCAGAGCUCUCCCUCUUUGUAUUUGUCUUGUAUUCAGGAGCAUGUUGUUGCUGUACAAACUAGGUUUAAUUCUUUUUUAAGGGAAUUUAGGUUUAAUUCUUGGUACCAUGAAGAGUUCGAUAAGGUUAAGGAUUAUUUGGGGGGGGGGGCAUCAUAUCAAAAAAGUAUAAACCUGGCUACGGUGGGACUGAUUGCCAGAUGUCAGACAAUAAAACAUAUCACUUUACUAUGGGUUCUGUUCUCCAUCCACUAGUUGUUGUCAACAAAGGUGUGCCAAGGAAAAAUAGCAAAGAUACAGCUAAGAAGACUACAGUCGGACAUAGGAUUAAAUCAUUUCAUGAAACACAGCCAAUUAAGUGUGGUACAUGUGGCAAAGGAGGUCAUAAUAGGAGGAGAUGCCCGUGGAGAGUAAGCAAAUUUGAAUAUCUUUGUAGUAAUUAUGCAGUCUAUUUUUGUGUUGUAGUGGUACUGAUUCUUUUUUUAUUUGUAGGCUCCAUAAACCCCAAGGUAUUAGAUGUCUGUUUGGACUGCAUCGGUUCUCCAGUUUUGUUUUCAUUAGGUACUCAUAUGUUUUCAUUAUGUAUUAACCAGCUAAUCUUUGCUUAUUUAGGUCCCAGGUGAACUUGAUAAACAUAUGGUCCAUUGUGGAGGGAUCUUGUUCUGCAAUCUCUUCUUGUGUUUGUAAUGGCUUCUUCACCUAGCUGUUUGCCUAUUCCAGUGGCCAUUACAAUUUACAAAGCGUUAUGCUGAGUGUCAUUCUUGGUUUUUGGAGUUGACAGAAGCCAUUGCUCAAAAUUUCAAGCUCCUGUGGCAACGCAGUUCAGGAUCUAUUGAUCGCGAGGAGGUGGAGGAGGAGAGCUCUGUAAUGUAGUAGGCGGGUAUCUUUUCUUUGCUGAUUUGUGAGUUCAUAUAAGAAAUUUUGUAAAGUGAUUUUUGUUUGUUUUCCUGAGUCAUAUUUGGGCAAGAAUUUGAGCUGUGAUUUCAUAAAAGAGUUUACUUAUAUACUAGAGAAAUCUGGAAAUCUGGACAGAUAUGGCUCUGAACAUGCAAAUAUCAAUUUGCAGUCUUGCUUGGAUAUUUCUUUCUGCAACUGUUUGUCAACACCUUGUGCAAGACUUCAGCUCAUCCCUGAAAUAGGAUGCUGAACUCGA